GGGGGGAAACUUUCUGUGUGCUAGACAACUCAACCCAACCAUUGUACCAUUUGAUUAUGAGUAAAAUAAAACUCUUGUGUUAAAUCUACUUUGGUUCUCAUUGACAACCUGGACUUUCCACUACAAAAUUGGCGUCACGAACAGGAUGGUCCAGAACUCUGCAAGUCAACAUCCGCUCCCGGCUUCUCUCUCAGGCAGACAACGCUUGCACGCGCGCAUCUAAUAAAAGAAGGAACUUCCUGAUGUUGCCUGACAGCACGACAUCAGCUGACAACUACUGGGGACGCCUCCCAGGAAUGAGUGGAAGACGGGGACUGCUCCAACUGUCCUAGCACUGGCUGACUGAGUCACAAGAUCAGCACUUCUCAGGACCAGCAGCUUCCUAGGAAGGUGGAAAGACCAUGAGACCAAAAUGGUAAGUUUGCAAAAUGUAGAAUUUGUGUGCCAG